GUUCUUCUCAGUCUCUUUCUUCAUAACCUUGGCAACGGCCAUCUCAAAAUCCUCCUGCGUCACAUGAACUCUUCUCUCCCUAAGAGCAAACAUUCCUGCUUCUGUGCAGACAGCCUUCAUUUCUGCUCCAGAUGCUCCAUUCAUCUUUUCAGCAAUUUUCUUUAGAUCAAUUCCCCGCAUCAAGUUCAUUUUCCUUGAGUGAAUUUUCAAAAUGUCGCAGCGAGACUCUUC
rnacentral:misc_RNA from 1 species